AUACGGAGGGUGCAAGCGUUAAUCGGAAUUACUGGGCGUAAAGCGCGCGUAGGCGGAUAUUUAAGUCUCAUGUGAAAGCCCUGGGCUCAACCUGGGAACUGCAUGGGAUACUGGGUAUCUAGAAUACAGUAGAGGGUAGUGGAAUUUCAGGUGUAGCGGUGAAAUGCGUAGAGAUCUGAAGGAACAUCAGUGGCGAAGACGACUACCUGGACUGAUAUUGACGCUGAGGUGCGAAAGCGUGGGGAGCAAACGGGAUUAGAUACCCUAGUAGUCC
rnacentral:rRNA from 1 species